ACCCACGUGGCUCUCCUCUCCCUCGCACUUCCGGGUUCUCAGGGAACGUGCGCACCAGCGUGCGUGCGCGUGACCGCCGCAAGCAACGGGCUCGUGAGCGCGCUGCUGCCUGGACCGCGCCUGGGCCUUAGAGAGAACACCCGUAAGGGCCAAGGAAGGAGGAAAGCGGCCCGUCUUCAGCUCCUGAGCAACGUCGGCUCUUCGGUUCCCGCAGCGCUGACUAUUCGGACCUUUAGGGCAGAACGACAGACGUUCAACUCGCUGCACCGCGGACCUGACUGCGUUCUGAGGUAAGGAAAGGAAAAGAAAACAGGAAACAUUGAAAACAUAAAUGGGGUCUUUCCUGUGAAGGUGAGUUUCAUUUUUUUUUUCUGUUGAACUUUGGUAAAGCACAAGGGUUAUAUUAAUUAAUGAUUAAUAACAACUGAAGAUUAGUGAGAAUGGGUAAGGUUCCUAUUACCUAGAUAUUUGUAUUUAAAGUUUUCUCUGCAUUCUGUAUUCUAUUUGAAAAUGUUUUUGUAAAGUACCACAAUAAAAUACUUUGGGUGUGAAAAAUUAAUUUAAAAAAUAAACCAAUCUAAAACUUAGAAGCUUAAAACAACCCUUUAUUUAAAACAAAACAAAACAAAAAGUUGAGCUCAUAGAAUCAGUAGAAAAUGGUUGCCAGGGGCUAGGGGACAGGGGGAAUGUACAACUUUCAAGGGUAUAAACUUUCAGUUGGAAGAUGAAGAAAGUUUGAGGAUCUAAUGUAUAACAUGGUGACUCUAGUUGAUAAUACCAUGUUAUAUAAUUGGAACUUGCUAUAAAAAUAGAACUUAAAUGUUCUCACCAAAAAAAUCCAACAGGAGAAUACAUAGAUGAUGGAUGGUUGGGGGAAAUCCUUUCACAGUGUAUAGGCAGAUGAAAUCAUCACAUGGUACACUUGUAAAUAG
rnacentral:lncRNA from 1 species